GAUUGGCUCCGGGGCUGCCGGAAAUGAAGUCUUUAAUUCAGUAGAUGGCACUCUUACCUCUGAAUCCACAGAGCACCGCGCUUCUCCCACACGCACACACACCUGACAAAGAGAAGAAACGACGUUCGUUCUUCUGAUUUUAUUCUUCUCGAAGUCUCCUGAAACUGGGAGAGUGCGGCAAAUUAAAACUUCAAGAAGGCCUUCCUGCGAGGGGGCGAAGCAGAAAUAGAAGCCACCCCGAUCCCGUUAGGUGGAAAUAUUCACUGCCCACGCUGGUGGAUCUCCUUUUGUGGUUCUAGUGAGGAUCCCACUGCACAGAAGGGAGAGAAAUCUGACCGAGUUCAAGAAGGAUUUGUGGGAGGAGAUUUGUGUGUCCUUUGACAUCUGGAACAGGGCCAAACUGCAGCUGGGGCCGGGGGGCCUCAGUGUCUCCUCCACCCCCGACCUCGCUGCAGCUAAGGGUGUGUCGCACUCUCUCGUGCAAAGUCGCCAUGCGUGAUUUCCAGGACACCUGGGGGAGAAUGGGUGUCACCCACACCUCUUGAGUCCGCGGCUGAUUCCCGACGUCAAGCUCCCAGGAAGGCUCUCCGUGGUCCGGCGGGGGUCAUGUGGCAUCGCAGGACCAGGCAGCUGUGCCGGGACUCAGGGGUGCAUGGUCCCCACGGGUGGCGCCCGAGGUGCCCAGGUGGACGGGGGCCGGUCAAGGUCAGGUGCCGGAGGAGGCAGGCCCGCGUGUCUGCGUGCACGAGCACAGGUGCACACGUGUGGGGGCUGAGGAGGAGUCUUUAAAAAAGAGGAAUAAAGGCAGAAAAAGGAA